rnacentral:lncRNA from 1 species
UGCCUGUUACCUUCCAGCAUUUGUUAGUUAUACUGUUUUGUUCUGUCUCAAUGCACAUUUCAUUUUGCAACACAAUAUCUGAUUAUUUAAGGUUAAUUCCAUAAUUAAAUGGAGUUAGCUCACCACAUGUCCUUAGCUAUAGUUCUUCCAUGCCUGAUGCCUUUAUUUUAAUUCAUCUUUUGGGGGUGUGAUGGAGGCUGGAAUUUUUAUUUUUGUAGUGCUGGUUCCCAUUUAGUUAAUCAUGCUGAUGAUUUGUGCAGGAAAUUUAGCAGUUUUACUUUUCUUUAAUAGAUAAAAAAGCUUUUAUUUCUAAAAUGUGGCUUAAUCACACCCACAAUGUGCUAGGCUGGUCUUGGAAUGGACCCUGCACCACUGAGCAAUCAGAGAAGGCACAGUCAGGGCGCCCAGUCCUGGGCACCAAGGUGUCAGUCCUCUGGCAACUCAGUCUACAGUUUUUCCUCAGCUGCUUUUUGUGAUGUCCAGUGGGUCAUGCUGUAAUGCUCUGUAUGACAGGUCUGACCUUGAGGAAGAAUGGCAGCCCACAUCCUAUGCUUUUAUGGGCUUAAUGAUACGGCCUGGCUCGAUGACUUCUAGUGGUGGUGAACUUUUGGAAGGUCCUCUGGUGUUCCAUGAGUACCCUGCAGAGGUCUGGAUGGUCCUUUCAAAUUGCUGAUGGUGAGUGAAUGGGUAUGGAAGCACUGGUACCUGAAGAGCUGCUGCAUGGAUGCUGUGCUUCGCAUUGAUAAUCACUUUUGGUAAAUGUUAGUCUUGCAGGACCUUCAGGGGCUUUAACAAGAUGCCGGCGUCUUUUCUGGGCACUGGGGUUCAGGCCUACGCCACCCCACUUGCCCCAGCGAGGCAGCGUCAGGACCACAUCCUUUGGCUUACUUGUCCUCAUAGCCUCCCUCAUCUCUUUCAAGAAAUCUCUAAUUACAUCACCUCCAGCAAAAGCUUCCUUUAUCAUUUGCUUUAGGUUUCUCUCCUCUUCAUCUUCCAAUUCCUCUAUUGCUAUGGGAAUGGCCCAAGACUUCACGGAAGGAGAUUUUGUAGUUAGGAGGUUCUGGAGGUCAAUCAUUUGCUCCUUCUUUUUUUCCCCCCGCUUAGGAGUCUAGUUAUUUGGGUUUCUCUUCACUCAUUCUCAUUCUAACAAAGGUCUGGGAAGCUCCUUAUUUUGAAAAUAUUCUUCUUUGCCCAGGUCUUCUAGUUCUUCCAGAAUCUACACUUUCUCUGGCCUCUGAAGCAACAGAUUCUUCUUCUAGGGCACAUUCCUCUCUCUGGAUCUGAGGAAAGGUCCCUGCUGGUCCCAGUUUCCUGGCAUGACAACUUUUUUGUUGAGUUUCUGAUUCAACACCCUCAAUUUGGAUAUGUUCUGGCUGCUAGAAUCUUUUGUUUCUUGGCUGCCCACUGGCUCAUCCUGGUUGAUCUCACAUCUUUUUCUAAGGAAUCACCUUUCCUGAAAUUCUUCCAACAGAAUUUCUUUCUCUGCUGGUGAUCUUUCAUCUUCCUCACUUUUAGAAAACUACUGGACAACAGGCUCAGGUAGUUGUUCAGGGCCUCUCUGGAUUUAAUCUUCUUUUGUAUUACUGUUACAAUUCCUAAGCAUCCAAGGAUUUGGCCCAUCUGCACACAUCUGUGCUUCAUUCACUAAUCAGGGACAAGCGGGUCCUCCUCUUCAGCACUGCUCUCCUCUUCCUCACUCUCUGAGAUUACCUGGAGUUUCUGGGUCAGUUCUUUGUUCUCAGCCAACUGUUCUUGCACAGCAGCCAAUGAUUAUGAAGUUCUAAAAGGCUCAAGAAGAUCUGAAAGGACCAGCUUUUCUCCUGAUCCUUUAGAGCUCACAAUGAAAUCUGAUACCUUCCAAGUAGCCUCAGAUGUCUCAGCCAAUUUCCACCUGUUCGUUGUUUAUUUUUUUUUGGUACGGGGAAUCGAACUCAGGGCCUUGCGCUUGUGAGGCAGGCCCUGCCCUACUUCCACCUAUUCUUUUCACCAAGAGAACCGACUGCUUUCAGAAGCUGGUGAUGCUCUCUCUCCAUCUCUGUCCCCCGUCUUCACGGCACUCAAGGGGAAGCUGCCUCUGAGCCCACAGGCUCUUCCUGCUGGCUUCAAGCCAUGAGGCCCUCGCAGCCCGGACUGCGUCCGUCCGUCCAGGCAGCCUACAGCCUACAUCAGCCGUACGGGCUGGGCGGAAGCUCUGUCCUGAUUGAGGAACCAGAUUUUUGUUUCAUGGACUUCCUCCAUUGUUUUUGUUUUAGAGUUUACCGAUUUUCACUUUGAUCCCGUCUUAGUCCAUUUUCCAUUCCUUAGCUCACAUCUUCACGUGUGGCAGAUCAGCCGUCACCAGUCGAAAGGUUCCUGAAUGGGGGAAAGGAGGACUGAGAAAAUAAGACAAAGAGACAGAGUCAGGAGGGCUCCCAAGACCGAGCUUAAGGAAAAAGAAAGACACAGAGACAGAGUCGGGAGGGCUCCCUGAGACCGAGCAAGCAAGUUUAUUUUCACCUCUCUUUUAUACACUCAGUGAGUUAGGUCAUUAACCAUGACCUUUAUCCAAAAC